GAUGAACGCUGGCGGCGUGCUUAACACAUGCAAGUCGAACGAAGCAUAGUGAAUGAAGUUUUCGGAUGGAUUUCACUUUGACUUAGUGGCGGACGGGUGAGUAACGCGUGGGCAACCUGCCCUUAACCGGGGGACAACAGUUGGAAACGACUGCUAAUACCGCAUAAGCGCACGUGACCGCAUGGUCGAGUGUGAAAAAUUCCGGUGGUUAAGGAUGGGCCCGCGUUGGAUUAGGUAGUUGGUGAGGUAACGGCCCACCAAGCCGACGAUCCAUAGCCGACCUGAGAGGGUGACCGGCCACAUUGGGACUGAGACACGGCCCAGACUCCUACGGGAGGCAGCAGUGGGGAAUAUUGCACAAUGGGGGAAACCCUGAUGCAGCGACGCCGCGUGAGUGAAGAAGUAUUUCGGUAUGUAAAGCUCUAUCAGCAGGGAAGAAAAUGACGGUACCUGCACAAGAAGCCCCGGCUAACUAC
rnacentral:rRNA from 1 species